AAGAUAUUCCCGAGUGGACUCGCCGCUGACUCGUACAAAAAGGCAGUGGACUCGGCCAUUGAGAAUCUCCGAAACCAGCAGGAAACGGAUCGUGAUGGCGACUUCUCCAGAGACACAGAACCUCCCUCGACGCCGAAGACGCCAAUUGAACCUGCCAUCGACUUCAUUCUUCACGACUUCGAGAUGCCGGAGGAUUUAUACACGCCGAUGAGCUUUUCCCUCUCGUUUUCUUCCGGCGGAGGUCCAGCCUAUAUCGAUUUUCCUUGAUUAGUGGCGGAUGAGAGGGGAUAUGAGGAUUUGCCGUACAAAAUGGCGCAAGAUUUUCUCUUCACGUCAGGGGGCAAGAUUUUGGACAGUCGUCUUCAACUCAAUAAGGGUCAUGGACAUUGGGUUAACUUCCUUGCUCUGAGCACCGAAUAUGUCCUUCGGACUGGAGCUUUUGAUCACACUGGAAGACAGUAUUCAUCUGCUGAAGAAAUGAAGCAAGUGCAUAACUGUUAUUAUGUCAAAUCAUCUUCAUCAUGAAUCAAUGAAUUACGCAUUUAUCUCUCUCUGCUCAUUUAUUUGCUUAUACAACCUAGUAUGCAUAGGUUAUUUCUCUCUGCACAUUAUUUGCGUACAAUUUGGUAUGCAUUAGUCAGUCCCUGUGUGUUUUUGGUCUCUGCAUGUUCUCCCCCCUUGUGGUGAUUUUCUCCCUUUGGGUCUAUGCACAUUUGUAGUUCUACUUUCUGUUAACUGUUAAGUGAACUUCUGUAUUUUGUUGAUAAACAUAAAAUGAAAGGCAAUGCUCCUGAAAGAUUGGUCUCUGGAUCUGAUGAUUUUACCAUAUUUUUUAGGAACCUUCUGUCAACAAGCACCCAAA